rnacentral:tRNA from 2 species
AUGCUUUAUUGGCAAUGUAUACAGCUUCCUUAAAAGAGCUCAAAAAGGCCUUUAAAUGACCUUUCAAAAUCCGACUCAUAAUCAGGGGGUCCUAGGUUCAAGUCCUAGUGGGACCA